GAUGAACGCUAGCUACAGGCCUAACACAUGCAAGUCGAGGGGCAGCAUGAACUUAGCUUGCUAAGUUUGGUGGCGACCGGCGCACGGGUGCGUAACGCGUAUCCAACCUACCCGUCACUCAGGGACAGCCCAUCGAAAGAUGGAUUAAUACCUGAUGUUCUGUCAUGAUCGCAUGUUUAUGACAGUAAAGAUUUAUUGGUGACGGAUGGGGAUGCGACCGAUUAGCUAGUUGGCGGGGUAACGGCCCACCAAGGCGACGAUCGGUAGGGGUUCUGAGAGGAAGGUCCCCCACACUGGAACUGAGACACGGUCCAG
rnacentral:rRNA from 1 species